rnacentral:rRNA from 1 species
AGUGAACGCUGGCGGUAGGCCUAACACAUGCAAGUCGAACGGCAGCACAGUAAGAGCUUGCUCUUACGGGUGGCGAGUGGCGGACGGGUGAGGAAUACAUCGGAAUCUACUUUUUCGUGGGGGAUAACGUAGGGAAACUUACGCUAAUACCGCAUACGACCUACGGGUGAAAGCAGGGGAUCUUCGGACCUUGCGCGAUUGAAUGAGCCGAUGUCGGAUUAGCUAGUUGGCGGGGUAAAGGCCCACCAAGGCGACGAUCCGUAGCUGGUCUGAGAGGAUGAUCAGCCACACUGGAACUGAGACACGGUCCAGACUCCUACGGGAGGCAGCAGUGGGGAAUAUUGGACAAUGGGCGCAAGCCUGAUCCAGCCAUACCGCGUGGGUGGAGAAGGCCUUCGGGUUGUAAAGCCCUUUUGUUGGGAAAGAAAGGCAGCAGGUUAAUACCCCGCUGUUCUGACGGUACCCAAAGAAUAAGCACCGGCUAACUUCGUG